AUGAUCAGCCAUACCGGGACUGAGACACGGCCCGGACUCCUACGGGAGGCAGCAGUGGGGAAUAUUGGACAAUGGGGGAAACCCUGAUCCAGCCAUGCCGCGUGUGUGAAGAAGGCCUUUAGGUUGUAAAGCACUUUAAGCAGUGAAGAAGACUCUUCGGUUAAUACCCGGAGACGAUGACAUUAGCUGCAGAAUAAGCACCGGCUAACUCUGUGCCAGCAGCCGCGGUAAUACAGAGGGUGCAAGCGUUAAUCGGAAUUACUGGGCGUAAAGCGAGCGUAGGUGGCUUGAUAUGUCAGAUGCGAAAUCCCCGGGCUUAACCUGGGAACUGCAUCUGAAACUGUUAGGCUAGAGUAGGUGAGAGGGAAGUAGAAUUUCAGGUGUAGCGGUGAAAUGCGUAGAGAUCUGAAGGAAUACCGAUGGCGAAGGCAGCUUCCUGGCAUCAUACUGACACUGAGGCUCGAAAGCGUGGGUAGCAAACAGGAUUAGAUACCCUGGUAGUCCACGCCGUAAACGAUGUCUACCAGUCGUUGGGUCCCUUGAGGACUUAGUGACGCAGCUAACGCAAUAAGUAGACCGCCUGGGGAGUACGGCCGCAAGGUUAAAACUCAAAUGAAUUGACGGGGGCCCGCACAAGCGGUGGAGCAUGUGGUUUAAUUCGAUGCAACGCGAAGAACCUUACCUGGUCUUGACAUAUCUAGAAUCCUGCAGAGAUGCGGGAGUGCUUCGGGAAUUAGAAUACAGGUGCUGCAUGGCUGUCGUCAGCUCGUGUCGUGAGAUGUUGGGUUAAGUCCCGCAACGAGCGCAACCCUUGUCCUUAGUUACCAGCGGGUUAAGCCGGGAACUCUAAGGAUACUGCCAGUGACAAACUGGAG
rnacentral:rRNA from 1 species